rnacentral:rRNA from 1 species
UACGAAGGGGGCUAGCGUUGCUCGGAAUGACUGGGCGUAAAGGGCGCGUAGGCGGCUUGUAUAGUCAGAUGUGAAAUUCCUGGGCUCAACCUGGGGGCUGCAUUUGAUACGUAUGGGCUUGAGUGGGGAAGAGGGUCGUGGAAUUCCCAGUGUAGAGGUGAAAUUCGUAGAUAUUGGGAAGAACACCGGUGGCGAAGGCGGCAUCCUGGACCAAUUCUGACGCUGAGUGAGCGAAAGCCAGGGGAGCAAACGGG